rnacentral:rRNA from 1 species
AUUGAACGCUGGCGGCAUGCCUUACACAUGCAAGUCGAACGGAUCAGAGGAGCUUGCUCUUCUGGUUAGUGGCGAACGGGUGAGUAAUGCAUCGGAACGUACCCAGUAGUGGGGGAUAACGUAGCGAAAGUUACGCUAAUACCGCAUACGACCUGAGGGUGAAAGCAGGGGAUCGCAAGACCUUGCGCUAUUGGAGCGGCCGAUGUCGGAUUAGCUAGUUGGUAGGGUAAAAGCCUACCAAGGCGACGAUCCGUAGCUGGUCUGAGAGGACGACCAGCCACACUGGGACUGAGACACGGCCCAGACUCCUACGGGAGGCAGCAGUGGGGAAUUUUGGACAAUGGGGGAAACCCUGAUCCAGCCAUGCCGCGUGAGUGAAGAAGGCCUUCGGGUUGUAAAGCUCUUUCAGACGGAAAGAAAUCUUCCGGGCUAAUACCUCGGGAGGAUGACGGUACCGUAAGAAGAAGCACCGGCUAACUACGUGCCAGCCGCCGCAGUAA